CAGGACCACCAUGCUACAAGAACCAUAACCAUAGCUUCUGCCUGUACAGUGUACACGUUAGAAUACAAUUUCUAUUAAUAGAAGUAUACAGCUAGCUGCAUUAGGGUAUAAAAGAAGGUACCACUUUAGUGCCUGCAGUGUAUAAAUUAUGUCAGAAGCUAAUACAACAAAGAAGCUGCUAAAAAUGUUCGGCCAAGAUGGUGGUGAUCCGACUUCUGCCUUAGCCUCACUGAUAGGGCUUGAUCCGACAGUUGAUGUCAGUUCAAUCAAGGAUAGUGAUGGAAUGACCCUCCUCCAUCUUGCCGGGACUGGUCUAAGUGGGGACUCUUAGUCACCCAAUUGGUCGAAACACACCAUCAUAAUGUCUCAGUUGUGAAUGAAGAUGGAGACACACCUCUGCACACAGCUGCUCGAUUCAACAACGGAGGAGCUGCCGAAUAUCUUCUUAAGCUCAGUGAUGUCAACGCUAUAAAUAACGCUGGAGUAACUGCUUUUGACAUUGCAGAUCAAAAGCAACAUCAAAAUGUUUUGAGACUCAGAGGUUGGUCGAGUGUGAUGAAGUAUUUGCAGAUCGAGACUUCAAGCGUUCAGAUUCUGGAUCGGACUACGGUGAGGGAGUUUCAGUACACCCGAUUCCAGACUCGUGUGCAUGCGUGGGUGAGAGAGAAAUGAGUAUCGGGGCUCGUCCUGUACCCGUAGCCUCUGAUAACCAGGAGACUAAUAACAUUGCAACUUUAACUGUCACUUAUGAGAUUGAUGAUAACAAUACUGUCACUUGUGAGAUAAAGGAUAAAUUCUGUGUGAUCACUAUUAAUAAGCCUUACGCCUGUCAAGAUUCUGAUCAUGAAAGGUCAGCAGCACAACCUGUUGCAGAAUCUGGCGCACACAACAACCCUUCUUCAGAACCAGAGCCAAAAAGUUACGCAGAAUAUACAGAGCUCUCAUUACCAACAGAUGAAGAUUAUCACCGGACUUUGAGGCAGCAAGGAACUGAAACUGAAACUGAAACUGAACUUAUAAAUAGCUAUGUCAUUAUUUGAGUUCAAAUCAAGCCAGCAAUUCAAUCCAUCUCUGGCUCGCUGUUGUGCUGCAUCAUUCUGCAUUAUUUGCAUUUCCUGUCUUAAUUGCUAUUGGACUCUGAAGCCGUUACAUAUACAACAGAACAUUGUUAUAAUUAUUGUACUCCUUACUCCAAACAUUGUUUUAUGUAUAAUUAUACUAUUAUACAGAAUUAUGGUAUAUA